ACCUCGUGGUUGUAAGUAGAUUAUCAAUAUAUGAUAGUCAACAGCCAAGCAUAAAGUUUACAAGAAUGCCCCCAAAUCACAAUACAAACAUAUUGAAAUAAUCAGAGGGGUCUUAGAUGGGAUCCAACAUACUUACAAGCUGUAGGGAAGAUACAUUUUAAACACAAUCAAGAGGUUGAAGGAUGUAGGAGCUAGAAUGAAUUAGAUUUUUCCACGUGGACCAAGCUUUGGAGGAAGUUGUGGGCCCUUCUUGAUUGGUAGAAUAUCCCCCGAGGCUGUGGAGCUUAGAUAAGCAAGGGUGGAACCACCUCCCA
rnacentral:lncRNA from 1 species